CCUACGGGUGGCAGCAGUGAGGAAUAUUGGUCAAUGGGCGAGAGCCUGAACCAGCCAAGUCGCGUGAGGGAGUACUGCCCUAUGGGUUGUAAACCUCUUUUGUCGGGGAGCAAAAGCCGGACGUGUCCGGCUGUGAGCGUACCCGAAGAAAACGCAUCGGCUAACUCCGUGCCAGCAGCCGCGGUAAUACGGGGGAUGCGAGCGUUAUCCGGAUUUAUUGGGUUAAAAGGGUGCGCAGGCGGAUUUUUAAGUCAGCGGUAAAAUCGUGGGGCUCAACCCCAUCCAGCCGUUGAAACUUGGGAUCUAGAGUGUGCGAGAGGUAUGCGGAAUGCGUGGUGUAGCGGUGAAAUGCAUAGAUAUCACGCAGAACCUCGAUUGCGAAGGCAGCAUACCGGUGCAUAACUGACGCUCAGGCACGAAAGCGUGGGUAUCGAACAGGAUUAGAUACCCUUGUAGUC
rnacentral:rRNA from 1 species